rnacentral:rRNA from 1 species
CUUAACACAUGCAAGUCGAGGGGCAGCGCGGGGCGGCAACGUCCUGGCGGCGACCGGCGGAAGGGUGCGUAACGCGUGAGCGACAUGCCCGUUGCCCGGGGACAACCGGUGGAAACGCCGACUAAUCCCCGAUGGGACGGAGGCCCUCAUGGGUCUCUGUUGAAAGUUACGGCGGCGACGGAUUGGCUCGCGUCCGAUUAGCUUGUUGGCGGGGUAACGGCCCACCAAGGCUACGAUCGGUAGGGGUUCUGAGAGGAAGGUCCCCCACAAUGGAACUGAGACACGGUCCAUACUCC